GGACGUCGAAGGUGGGGCUGAUGACUGGGGUGAAGUCGUAACAAGGUAUCCGUACCGGAAGGUGCGGAUGGAUCACCUCCUAACAGGGAGACAAAACAAUGAUUUUGAUGUCUGAGUAUUUUAUUCUUAGGCCGAAAUCCUGUCACCUUAGGUCGAUCGGUACCUCAACAUUUUUCAAAUAUUGGUGAGCAAUCAUCAAUCAUUUAGAAUAGAUGUUCAGUUCCUAAACUUUGUCUAGGUCACACCCCGCAAGGGAAGAGUCCCCUGGGCCAUUAGCUCAGGUGGUUAGAGCGCACCCCUGAUAAGGGUGAGGUCCCUGGUUCAAGUCCAGGAUGGCCCAUCGGUGUUGGGGGUUUAGCUCAGUUGGUAGAGCGCCUGCUUUGCAAGCAGGAUGUCAGGAGUUCGAGUCUCCUAACCUCCACUGACAGAACUCAAUCUCCAUUAUCCUGUAAUUUGGAGGAUGAACUCGGUGGCGUGUGAUUUAGAUGUGUCCACUAGAUAGGACCCUAGCUUCCUGUCAUUCCGAACAAGUGAUUAUUACUUAAUUGGUUGAUAUGAUGCUGGGCUCAGAUUAAUCGAAAGAUUAAUUUGAUCUCUAGUAGAACCUUGACAACUGCAUAAGUAAGUCUGGAAAAACGAAGCAUCUUACAGAUGCAUUGUUUUAAGUCUGAAUUCUCGAAAGAGAGUUUAGAUCUAGAAUGAUGAAAAUUCUUUUAAGCAAGAGCCGAGACUCUUAGAUGUUCUUUUUAUCGUGUCGAGCGAUAAAGAGUUUGAUUUUGUUUUUAUGAGCAGCGAAAGUUGCUGGUGAAACCAGAAGAAUCUGUUUCAACCACAGUAAGCGUUUAAGAGGUUAAUUGGUCAAGCUACAAAGGGCUCAC
rnacentral:misc_RNA from 1 species